AUAGGGGGUUAUAUUGUUCGGUGGGGGUAUAAGGCGGGGUUAUAGGGGGUUAUAUGGUUGGGUGGAGUUUAAGACGGUGUUAUAGGGGGUUAUAUGGUUGGGUGGGGGUUUAAGGUGGGGUUAUAGGGGGGUGGAUUUUUUAUGUUAGUGGGGUGGGGUUUGGGCAAAAUGAGCAUUUGGAAUAUUUGUAGUUUAAAUCUUUUUUUAUGAAAAAACGGGAAAGAAUUACCACACAGGUAAUAUUUGAAUUACCUCACCAUUUGUUAACUGGGGAUAUUUAAAUGUGUUGUUUUUAGUAACUGUCUUGCCCAAUUACACAACCGACUAGUCGAUCCCACCACCCAUCGGUUGCAGCUUAUGCUCAGCACCAAAGGUUGAACAUCAAUCAUUCUAAACUUUGUAGGAAUUGAUUUAAGAAUUGGAUUUGUAUCCUUGGUAGCUAUUUUGCUACAAACCCCCCUUACUCCUAAAGCCGAGUUCUCUUUUCUUGGUAAGGGGCGGCGACCCUGGAAUCGGUUCGCCCGGAGAUAGGGACAUGGGCCCCGUAAAGCAGCACGUCUCUUGUGCUGUCCGGUGAGCUCGCGUCGGCCCUUGAAAAUCCGAGGGAGACGGUGUAAUUUUCGUGCGAGGUCGUACCCAUAUCCGCAGCAGGUCUCCAAGGUGAACAGCCUCUGGCCGAUAGAACAAUGUAGGUAAGGGAAGUCGGCAAACUAGAUCCGUAACUUCGGGAAAAGGAUUGGCUCUAGGGGCUGGGUCGGUCGGGCUGAGGUACGAAGCGGGGCGCGGCGCUGUACCGGACUGGGCGAACGACGGCCUCCCUCGCGGGGGGCUGGCGUGAGCCUGGACCUGUGUCGGCGUCUUCCCGUGGAAUGCCGCAGCUAACGCGGGCCUCGCGGCCCGCUUCGGCCGGCGUCGAACAGCCGACUUAGAACUGGUACGGACCGGGGGAAUCCGACUGUUUAAUUAAAACAAAGCUUUGCGAUGGCCGUCAGCCGGUGUUGACGCAAUGUGAUUUCUGCCCAGUGCUCUGAAUGUCAAAGUGAAGAAAUUCAACCAAGCGCGGGUAAACGGCGGGAGUAACUAUGACUCUCUUAAGGUAGCCAACUGCCUCGCCAUCUAAUUAGUGA
rnacentral:ncRNA from 1 species